rnacentral:sRNA from 1 species
UUGACAGUCUCAGAGAUCAAAGUCCUCUUUUUAUCAACUGAGCAGAUAGAGCUGAGGGAGUAGAACUUUCCUCUCUCUCUCUCUCCCUCAUCCCUCCUUUGGGGGGCCUAGCUGUAAGGAUGAGACAACAUUUUGAGGGUUUUUUUUUCUUUGUCAUUUUCUUAUGAGGAUGCC